GCACCCGCACAAGCGGUGGAGCAUGCUGUUUAAUUCGAAGAUACGCGAAGAACCUUACCUAGACUUGACAUCCCAGGCAAAGCUAUAGAAAUAUAGUGGAGGCUAUCCUGGUGACAGGUGGUGCAUGGUUGUCGUCAGCUCGUGUCGUGAGAUGUUCGGUUAAGUCCGAUAACGAGCGCAACCCUUAUCGUUAGUUGCUAACAUUUAGUUGAGAACUCUAGCGAGACUGCCGGUGACAAACCGGAGGAAGGUGGGGAUGACGUCAAAUCAUCAUGCCCCUUACGUCUAGGGCUACAGGCGUGCUACAAUGGCCGAUACAAAAAGACGCAAUACCGCGAGGUGGAGCUAAUCUCUAAAAUCGGUCUCAGUUCGGAUUGGAGUCUGCAACUCGACUCCAUGAAGCUGGAAUCGCUAGUAAUCCUGAAUCAGAAUGUCAGGGUGAAUACGUUCCCGGGUGUU
rnacentral:rRNA from 1 species